rnacentral:lncRNA from 1 species
CCAAGCCUUCAAAGCCAGCUCCUGCAGAAGAGAGAGGGCCUGGCAGCUGAGCUGGAUGCUUCAGGAGCAGAGGAUCUAUCAACUGCAGACCAAGCACAGGGAGACGCAGGCAAACCUGGAACAGUAACCCAGCCAGCUCCAAUUGCUCCGACAGUACUUGGUGGCCAGAGAGUCGGCAGCAGAAAGCAUGCCCCGGGCCGUGAAGCAGGAAAUCGACUCUGACUCAAUCCUUGAGGUCUGGUAAGUU